rnacentral:misc_RNA from 2 species
CAACCCUCAAGCUCUGCUUGGUGUUGGGGCUCUACGUCUGACGUAGGCCCUGAAAGGAAGUGGCGGGCUCGCUACAACUCCGAGCGUAGUAAUUCAUUAUCUCGCUAGGGAAGUGUGGCGUGCUCCUGCCGUUAAAGACCCCAUCUUUAACCAA